GACGAACGCUGGCGGCGCGCCUAACACAUGCAAGUCGAACGAGCGAGCGAGCGCUUGCUUUCUCGAUCGAGUUGCGAACGGGUGAGUAACGCGUGAGAAACCUGCCUCAAAGAGGGGGACAACAGUUGGAAACGACUGCUAAUACCUCUUAAGCCCACGACCCGGCAUCGGGUGGAGGGGAGAGGGGAAAUCCGCUUCUAGAGGGGCUCGCGUCCGACUCGCUAUAUGGGGAGGUAACGGGCGACCAAGGCGACGAUCGGGAGGCGGACUGUGAGGUUGAAAGGCCACAUUGAGACUGAGACACGGCACAGACUCCUACGGGAGGAAGCAGUGGGGAAGAUUGCAGCAUGGGGGACACCCUGAUGCAGCGAGGCUGCGUGGAGGAAGAAGGUCUUCGGAGUGUAAACUCCUGUUGUUGAGGAAGAUAAUGACGGUACUCAACAAGGAAGUGACGGCUAACUACGUG
rnacentral:rRNA from 1 species